rnacentral:rRNA from 1 species
GAGUUUGAUCCUGGCUCAGAACGAACGCUGGCGGCGUGUCUUAAGCAUGCAAGUCGAGCGGCAAGGGUAGCAAUACCCCUAGAGCGGCGGACUGGUGAGUAACACGUGGGUGAUCUACCUCGGGGAUGGGAUAGCCAUUAGAAAUAGUGGGUAAUACCGAAUACGUUAGCAAGCUUGCGAGCUUGUUAAGAAAGGCGCUACGGCGCCACCCUGAGAUGAGCCCGCGCCCCAUUAGCUAGUUGGUGAGGUAACGGCCCACCAAGGCGAUGAUGGGUAGGCGGCCUGAGAGGGUGUACGCCCACACUGGGACUGAGAUACGGCCCAGACUCCUACGGGAGGCAGCAGCUAAGAAUAUUCCGCAAUGGACGAAAGUCUGACGGAGCGACGCCGCGUGGAUGAUGAAGGCCGGAAGGUUGUAAAAUCCUUUUGUCGGGGAAGAAUAAGCACGGGAGGGAAUGCCCGUGUGAUGACAUGAACCGGCGAAUAAGCCCCGGCUAACUACGUGCCAGCAGCCGCGGUAACACGUAGGGGGCGAGCGUUGUUCGGAAUUACUGGGCGUAAAGGGCAUGUAGGCGGUUUUGUAAGCCUGACGUGAAAGGCUAUGGCUCAACCAUGGCACUGCGUUGGGAACUGCAAGACUUGAAUCAUGGAGGGGGAGCUGGAAUUCCAGGUGUAGGGGUGAAAUCUGUAGAUAUCUGGAAGAACACCAGUGGCGAAGGCGAGCUCCUGGCCAAUGAUUGACGCUGAGGUGCGAAAGUGUGGGGGAUCAAACAGGAUUAGAGACCCUGGUAGUCCACACUGUCAACGAUGUGCACUAGGUGCUGGGGCGGACGCUUUCAGUGCCGGAGCUGACGCGGUAGUGCACCGCCUGGGGGAGUAUGCUCGCAAGGGUG